GGAUCUGCGGUGGGUACGGGCAGACUAGAGUGAUGUAGGGGAGACUGGAAUUCCUGGUGUAGCGGUGAAAUGCGCAGAUAUCAGGAGGAACACCGAUGGCGAAGGCAGGUCUCUGGGCAUUAACUGACGCUGAGGAGCGAAAGCAUGGGGAGCGAACAGGAUUAGAUACCCUGGUAGUCCAUGCCGUAAACGUUGGGCACUAGGUGUGGGGGACAUUUCCACGUUUUNCCGCGCCGUAGCUAACGCAUUAAGUGCCCCGCCUGGGGAGUACGGCCGCAAGGCUAAAACUCAAAGGAAUUGACGGGGGCCCGCACAAGCGGCGGAGCAUGCGGAUUAAUUCGAUGCAACGCGAAGAACCUUACCAAGGCUUGACAUGGACCGGACCGGGCUGGAAACAGUCCUUCCCCUUUGGGGCCGGUUCACAGGUGGUGCAUGGUUGUCGUCAGCUCGUGUCGUGAGAUGUUGGGUUAAGUCCCGCAACGAGCGCAACCCUCGUUCCAUGUUGCCAGCGCGUAAUGGCGGGGACUCAUGGGAGACUGCCGGGGUCAACUCGGAGGAAGGUGGGGACGACGUCAAAUCAUCAUGCCCCUUAUGUCUUGGGCUUCACGCAUGCUACAAUGGCCGGUACAAAGGGUUGCGAUACUGUGAGGUGGAGCUAAUCCCAAAAAGCCGGUCUCAGUUCGGAUUGGGGUCUGCAACUCGACCCCAUGAA
rnacentral:rRNA from 1 species